rnacentral:rRNA from 1 species
AAUCAACGCUGGCGGCGUGCCUCAGACAUGCAAGUCGAACGAUUAAAGCUCUCUUCGGAGAGUGCAUAAAGUGGCGCACGGGUGAGUAACACGUAAGUAAUCUACCUUCGAGUGGGGAAUAACGUCCGGAACGGACGCUAAUACCGCAUAACGCAGCGGCAUCGCAAGAUGACAGUUGUUAAAGAUUUAUCGCUUGAAGAGGAGCUUGCGGCAGAUAGCUUGUUGGUAAGGUAACGGCUUACCAAGGCUACGAUCUGUAUCCGGUCUAAGAGGACGGUCGGACACACUGACACUG